GCUGGCGGUGCGCCUUAUGCAUGCAAGUCGAGCGAAGCUUUUCAGUAGUUUACUACAGAAAAUGACUGAGCGGCGAACGGGUGAGUAACGCGUGAGCAAUCUACCUUAGUUACAGGGAUAGCCCGAGGAAACUCGGAUUAAUACCUGAUAUUCUUUACAUUUCGCAUGAAAUCAAAAGGAAAGGUCAGCCGAACUAAGAUGAGCUCGCGUUCUAUCAGCUAGUUGGUGAGGUAAAAGCUCACCAAGGCAACGACGGAUAGCUGGUCUGAGAGGACGAUCAGCCACACUGGGACUGAGACACGGCCCAGACUCCUACGGGAGGCUGCAGCAGGGAAUAUUGCGCAAUGAGCGAAAGCUUGACGCAGCGACACCGCGUGUGGGAUGACGGAUCUAGGUUUGUAAACCACUUUCAGGAGGGAAGAAAAUGACGGUACCUCCA
rnacentral:rRNA from 1 species